rnacentral:rRNA from 1 species
CCCUUAGAUGUUCUGGGCCGCACGCGUGCUACACUGAGUGGAUCAGCGGGUCAGGUUGCGCGAAAGCGUUUCCUAAUCUUGAAAUCCGCUCGUGAUGGGGAUUGACGGUUGCAAUUUUCUGUCAUGAACGAGGAAUACCUUGUAAGCGCGGGUCAUCAUCCCGCGCUGAAUACGUCCCUGCCCUUUGUACACACCGCCCGUCGCUCCUACCGAUUGAGUGGUCCGGUGAGGCUUUGGGAUCUGGAUGGAAAGAGCGUUUCGCUGUUUCUGCCCGGAAAACUCAGUCGAACCUUAUCAUUUAGAGGAAGGAGAAGUCGUAACA